UCCCCUCCUCCAGCUGGUAUAAUAAUAACUCCACUACCAUAGACGUCCCCUCCUCCAGCUGGUAUAAUAAUAACUCCACUACCAUAGACGUCCCCUCCUCCAGCUGGUAUAAUAAUAACUCCACUACCAUAGACGUCCCCUCCUCCAGCCCCCACAGAGUAGGAGUGUAUCUGGACUGGUCAGCCGGCACUCUGUCCUUCUAUAGAGCCUCCUCUGACACACUGACCCACCUGAUCACAUUCACCUCCACAUUCACUGAGCCCCUCUAUCCAGGGUUUAGGGUUGAUGAUGUUGACUCUUCAGUGUCCCUGAAAUAAUAACUGGACACACACACACACACACACACACCCACACUGGACACACACACCCACACUGGACACACACACACACACACACUGGAUACACACACACACACACACUGGAUACACACACACACACACACACACUGGAUACACACACACACACACACACACACACUGGAAACACACACACACACACACUGGAUACACACACACACUGGAUACACACACACACUGGAUACACACACACACUGGAUACACACACACACUGGAUACACACACACACUGGAUACACACACACACACACUCACUGGACACACACACACUCACUGGACAAACACACACACUGGACACACACACAAACACACUGGAUACACACACUGGAUUCACACACACAAACACACUGGACACACACACUCACUGGACACACACACGCUUGACACACACACACACACUCACUGGAUACACACACACUGGAUACACACACACUGGAUACACACACACACACACACUGGAUCCACACACUGGAUACACACACACAAACACACACACACACACACACACUGGACACUCACACAUGUUAAAUCAGUUUCUGGACCACAGGUUCUAGAACAGCUUCUAUCCCAGUUCUAUCUGCCUGUUAAAUCAGUUUCUGGACCACAGGUUCUAGAACAGCUUCUAUACCAGUUCUAUCUGCCUGUUAAAUCAGUUUCUGGACCACAGGUUCUAGAACAGUUUCUAUAUAGGGAAGGUAGGGGAGCGGAGGGGAUAUAGGGAAGGUAUAGGGAAGGUAGGGGAGAGGAGGGGGGUAUAGGGAAGGUAGGGGAGAGGAGGGGGUAUUGAAAAACUGAGUUUAAAUGUAUUUGGCUUAGGUGAAUGUAAACUUCCGACUUCAACUAUAUAUAAGCUGCAGACUCCCAAUCCAAAGGUUGGGUGUUCAAUUCUAGCGCUAGAAAGUUUGUUAUUGUAUUUUAUUAAGCUUUUCCCUUUACUUUACACUAAUCUUAACUAUUCAGAAUGAAUGCCUAAACUUAAGUUUUAGUUUCAUGUUUGCCGAGUUUGACUGAAAAGCUAAAAUAUGGCAACAGCUGGUGUAGUUAAAACAUCAAGCCAUGGUGUAAUUCUGCUACUGCAGUUACAGCACAGGUUGGCAUUUUAUUUGAGGAUUAGAUUGUUAUUGUUACAACUGUUUAUAAGGAAAAUACAGACACAUUUUAUAUGUUCAAAUCAUGUUGGAAAUCAAUGAAAGCAUAUUUUGUUGUUGUUGCAAUAUAAAACUGGGAAGAGCAAGGACAAUUGUAGAGGGUCAAACCAAAUCUGGUAAAUCAAACCAAAUGUAUUUAUAAAGCCCUUCUUACAUCAGCUGAUAUCUCAAAGUGUUGUACAGAAACCCAGCCUAAAACCCCAAACAGCAAGCAAUGCAGGUGUAGAAGCACGGUGGCUAGGAAAAACUCCCUAGAAAGGCCAGAACCUAGGAAGAAACCUAGAGAGGAACCAGGCUAUGAGGGGUGGCUAGGAAAAACUCCCUAGAAAGGCCAGAACCUAGGAAGAAACCUAGAGAGGAACCAGGCUAUGAGGGGUGGCUAGGAAAAACUCCAUAGAAAGGCCACUUUUGAAAAAUGCACUUUUCGUAGUAAGUUUAGGAGAACGUACGUAGCAGGUUAGGAGAAAAAGGUUAUGAUAAUUAGGUUAAGGUUAGGAAAAUGGUUAAGGUUAGCUAAUACGCAAAAAAAAGUAUUAUAUACUUAGAUGUCAAUUUGACAAAAGCUGUAUCCCAUCUAGACAUAUUGCCGCUUUCCAUGUUGUCUGUAGCUUGUGAGGUGUGGAAACACUUUGUUGUUUUUAUACUAUGUUGCUCUGUCUGUAUGCUACAUCUUGCUUGUCCUAUGUUGCUCUGUCUGUAUGCUACAUCUUGCUUGUCCUAUGUUGCUCUGUCUGUAUGCUACAUCUUGCUUGUCCUAUGUUACUCUGCGUGUGCUCACUGCUCAAUGAUUGUCUGUAUUUUUGUUGUAAUUGUUUUUAAUAACCUGCCCAGGGACUGCGGUUGAAUAUUAGCCGGCUGGAUAAAACCGGCACUUUUACUGAAAUGUUUAUUAAUGGUGCACUGUCCCUGUAAAAAUAAAAUAAAAAUAAACUCCAACAUGACUGAGGAAAGUGGCAAGGCAAAAUAUUUUCUAUAAAUAUUGUUAGGGGUGCUUAACAAUUAAAUGAUUUGUAAAAAAAAAAUAUAUACAUUUAGACUCAAUAUAUUUUACAAUACAACUAAUAACAGAAAGAUACAUUUCUUCAUAAACACACCAGCUGAUUCGCAGGUCUGCAGAGCCGCUUCAAUCCACUAGAGGGCAGCAGAUGUAUUUUUAUUUUACCUUUAUUUAACCAGGCAAGUCAGUUAAGAACACAUUCUUAUUUACAAUGACAUAUA
rnacentral:lncRNA from 1 species